rnacentral:rRNA from 1 species
AUGGCUGAAGCUUUAGCCCUCAGAUUUGGUCUAUAUCUUGCACAAAGGGCGGGAUGCAAUUGCCUCAUCAUUAAUUCAGAAAAUUUAGAGGUUAUUGAUACUAUGAAGAAUGGAGGACAAUCUGCGAGAGCGACAGCGACAAUCUUUGAUGAUUGUUAUCAUUUUGCUUGUGAUUUUCCUAUUUCUAGGUUUGAGCAUUGUAAUAGAGAGAACAAGGUCUCUCAUGAGCUCGCUAGGGUAGCUACAUUUUAGUCGUCUAUUGAUUGGUUUGAGGAGCCCUUUUGA